GAAUUCAAGAACGAGCAGAAAAGUCCUAAGCCUAAGUAUAUGAAAAAGUUCCAGACUUGAACACCCGUCACUAAAGCAUAUUAUAACCCGUCAAAAUCAACGUGUACGAGCAUAAUUUAUUAACCAUAAUGUCUUCGACUGGUCUACAAAUUACGAAAGUCAAUCGUGUGGCGGUUACGGACGACAUUCGUCUGAAAUUAUGAAGAAAAACAUAGUUAACAAGAGCGAAAAUAGCUGGAGCCGCAUUUAGAUCCAGAUGCGUCCAAGACUCGAACCACAGGCCCGCUUUUAUAGCCUCCUGUUCAAACAGCACGGACGACUUUUCGUUUUUAACUCGCCUGGUGCAGCUCUUAAUGCCUCAACACAAUCAAGCUUCGAGCGGAAAUGCACACCCAUUGUGCUGGCUGGCACAAUACCCGGGGAGCAAAACAAGGACCCGCAUGUAAAUGAUCAUUCAACACCCAGUUAGAGUCUCAAGAGGUGCCCCUUUGAAGCAAAUCCACUUCAAGGCUCCCCAGUAGUAAUUCUUCCAGUUCCAACGACUUCGGAUAUCGUGCAAUGCCUCAAAAAUUCUAAUCGAAUUUGCAAGUUUGUAAUAAAGUAAAUCGAAGCCAAUUUAAGAGAGUUGCGUGCUCUUCAUCAGUAUAUUUA